rnacentral:lncRNA from 1 species
ACAAGUCUUUAUUCUCUCCUCCUCUUUAAAAAUAUUUCUCCAUAUUAUUAAGGCUUUUUAAGGCUUUGGAAUUUCAAUAAAGAAUCACGUUUUCAGCAAUUUUGUUUUCCACGUUCAUCUUCAAACGGUGAGAUGCUCAGUGCUAUUAGUGGUUUGUCCACAUCUUUUCAAAUACGUUGUUAUGUAUGGAUUUAAUUACUUCAAUUCAGAGCUCCUAUGGGAGAAAUCAUGAUACAGUUUAAGGCACAAUUUAGCCUUCACGUUAUUUGCAGCGCUUGCUUGAAUUAUCAUUUGUCAUUGUGUGAUAAUUCUCAUGUUAUGUUGAUAAGAGAAUUUAUGCAUAAUUUCACAUUUGAUUUGAAUGUGGAGUAGCAAGUAUCUCAUUGAGUAUAAUUCGUUAUACUCAUCCCUCUCUAUUUAAAAUUUUCAGGUAGAAAUUAGUAUGCUGGACGGCGGUGGAUGGAUGCAUAUUGGACCAAUGGAUCUCCAUCAUGAAGUACUUUAAUUUUUAGAAACACUAGAAUAUUUAUUAACAUUUGAUUAUUAUUAUUUUUAAAUUUAGACUCAAUUGUGAGUCACGUCAUAACUUUCAAUUAGUCCUAUUUUUAUUAUUUGUUAGAACUACUUUUAUUAAUGUUUGAUAAAAGAUAUGAUUCCAAAUUGUUCCGC